rnacentral:rRNA from 1 species
GACGAACGCUGGCGGCGUGCUUAACACAUGCAAGUCGAGCGGUAAGGCCCUUUCGGGGGUACACGAGCGGCGAACGGGUGAGUAACACGUGGGUGACCUGCCCUCAGCUCUGGGAUAAGCCUGGGAAACCGGGUCUAAUACCGGAUAUGACCUCAUGACGCAUGUUGUGGGGUGGAAAGCCUUGUGCGGCUGAGGAUGGGCCCGCGGCCUAUCAGCUUGUUGGUGGGGUGANGGCCUACCAAGGCGACGACGGGUAGCCGGCCUGAGAGGGCGACCGGCCACACUGGGACUGAGACACGGCCCAGACUCCUACGGGAGGCAGCAGUGGGGAAUCUUGCGCAAUGGGCGAAAGCCUGACGCAGCGACGCCGCAUGAGGGAUGACGGCCU